rnacentral:rRNA from 1 species
UGGGGAAUAUUGCGCAAUGGGCGAAAGCCUGACGCAGCGACGCCGCGUGAGGGAUGACGGCCUUCGGGUUGUAAACCUCUUUCAGCAGGGACGAAGCGAAAGUGACGGUACCUGCAGAAGAAGCACCGGCCAACUACGUGCCAGCAGCCGCGGUAACACGUAGGGUGCGAGCGUUGUCCGGAAUUAUUGGGCGUAAAGAGCUUGUAGGCGGUCCGUUACGUCGGCUGUGAAAACCCGGGGCUCAACCCCGGGCCUGCAGUCGAUACGGGCGGACUAGAGUGUCGUAGGGGAGACUGGAAUACCAGGUGUAGCGGUGAAAUGCGCAGAUAUCUGGUGGAACACCGGUGGCGAAGGCGGGUCUCUGGGCGACAACUGACGCUGAGAAGCGAAAGCGUGGGGAGCAAACAG